rnacentral:rRNA from 1 species
AUUGAACGCUGGCGGCAGGCUUAACACAUGCAAGUCGAGCGGAGCGAGGGUGCUUGCACCUUAGCUUAGCGGCGGACGGGUGAGUAAUGCUUAGGAAUCUGCCUAUUAGUGGGGGACAACAUUCCGAAAGGAAUGCUAAUACCGCAUACGCCCUACGGGGGAAAGCAGGGGAUCUUCGGACCUUGCGCUAAUAGAUGAGCCUAAGUCGGAUUAGCUAGUUGGUGGGGUAAAGGCCUACCAAGGCGACGAUCUGUAGCGGGUCUGAGAGGAUGAUCCGCCAAACUGGGACUGAGACACGGCCCAGACUCCUACGGAAGGCGGCAGUAGGGAAUAUUGGACAAUGGGCGGAAGCCUGUUCCAGGCAUGCCGCGUGUGUGAAGAAGGCCUUUUGGUUGUAAAGCACUGUAAGCGAGGAGGAGGCUACCUGGAUUAAUACUCUAGGAUAGUGGACGUUACUCGCAGAAUAAGCACCGGCUAACUCUGUGCCAGCAGCCGCUGUAACAC